ensembl:lncRNA
CUCGGUGCAGCUGCAUCGCCACUGCGCUGUGCAACAUUUUGGCCUGUUUGAGUGCAUUGACAGUAUUCGGCACAAUUUGCACAAUUUUUCUCAGGAAACAACUCAACGUGUACAAUAAAAUACAGUUUUAAUGGGAAGGUGCGUAUAAAGCGAUGUUUCUGUACAUAGGAUUGCAAAUGAUUUCUUACUCAAGUGUAGGGAUGCAACUAACCAUUAUUUUCAUAAUCGAUUAGUUGGCUGAUUUUUUUUUUUUUUCGAUUAAUUGGGGCGGGGCAAACUUCGAGUACCAUUUUGUCGUUUAUUUAAAUUAAAAUCCAUAAACUGAGUAAUGGUAGUAGUAGUAGUAGUAGUAGUAGUAGUAGUAGUAUAGAAGAAGUAGUAAUAGAGGUAGUAGUAGUAGUGGUAGAAGUAGUAAUAGUAGUAAUAGUGGUGGUAGUAGUAGUAAUAGUAGUAGUUUAUAAUAUUAGACGUAGUAGUGGUAGAAGUAGUAAUAGUAAGUAGUAGUAGUGCAGUAGUAGUAGUAGAGGUAUUAGUAAUAGUAGUAGUAGCUGUGGUAGUAGUAGUAGUAGCAGCAGCAGUAGUAAUAGUAGUGGUAGUAGCAGUAGUAAUAGUAGUGGUAGUCGUAGUAGUGGUAGUAGUAGCAGUAGUAAUAGUUGUAGUAGUAGCAGUAGUAAUAGUAGUGGUAGUAGCAGUAGUAGUGGUAGUAGCGGUAGCAGUAGUAAUAGUAGUGGUAGUAGUAGCAGUAGUAGUGGUAGUAGUAGCAGUAGUAGUGGUAGUAGUAGUAGGAGUAGUAGGAGUAGAAGUGGUGGUAGUAGUAGUAGUGGUAGUAGCGGUAGCAGUAGUAAUAGUAGUGGUAGUAGUAGUAGGAGUAGUAGGAGUAGUGGUGGUGGUAGUAGUAGUAAUAGUAAUGGUAGUAGCGGUAGUAGUAGCAGUAGUAGUGUAGUAGCAGUAGUGAUAGUAAUAGUAGUGGUGGUAGUAGUAGUAGUAGUAGUAGUAGUGUAGUAGCAGUAGUGAUAGUAAUAGUAGUGGUGGUAGUAGUAGUAGUAGUGUAGUAGCAGUAGUAGUAGUGGUGGUGGUGGUAUUAGUAGCAGUAGUAGUGUAAUAGCAGUAGUAGUGGUAUUAGUAAUAGUAAUAGUAGUAGCAGUAGUACUAAUAGUAGUGUAGUAGUAGUAGCAGUAGUACUAAUAGUAGUGGUUGUAGUAGCAGUAGUAGUUGUAGUGGUGGUAGUAGCAGUAGUAGUAGUGGUGGUAUUGGUAAUAGAAGUAGUAGUGUAGUAGCAGUAGUAGUAGUAAUAGUAGUGGUAGUAGUAGUAGCAGUAGUACUAAUAGUAGUGGUGGUAGUUGUAGUAGUGGUAGUAGUAGUGUAGUAGUAGUUGUAGUGGUAUUGGUAAUAGAAGUAGUAGUGUAGUAGCAGUAGUAGUAGCAGUAGUACUAAUAGUAGUGGUGGUAGUAGCAGUAGUAGUAGUAAUAGUAGUGGUAGUAGUAGUAGCAGUAGUACUAAUAGUAGUGGUGGUAGUAGCAGUAGUAGUAGUAAUAGUAGUGGUAGUAGUAGUAGCAGUAGUACUAAUAGUAGUGGUGGUAGUAGUAGUUGUAGUGGUGGUAGUAGCAGUAGUAGUUGUAGUGGUGGUAGUAGCAGUAGUAGUUGUAGUAGUGGUAGUAGUAGUGUAGUAGUAGUAGUAGUAGUAGUAGUGGUAUUGGUAAUAGAAGUAGUAGUGUAGUAGCGGUAGUAGUAGUAAUAGUAGUGGUAGUAGUAGUGUAGUAGCGGUAGUAGUAGUAAUAGUAGUGGUAGUAGUAGUGUAGUAGUAGUUGUAGUAGUGGUAGUAGUAGUGUAGUAGUAGUAGUAGUAAUAGUAGUGGUAGUAGUAGUGUAGUAGCGGUAGUAGUAGUAAUAGUAGUGGUAGUAGUAGUGUAGUAGCGGUAGUAGUAGUAAUAGUAGUGGUAGUAGUAGUGUAGUAGCCGUAGUAGUAGUAAUAGUAGUGGUAGUAGUAGUGUAGUAGUAGUUGUAGUAUGUGUAGUAGUAGUGUAGUAGCGGUAGUAGUAGUAAUAGUAGUGGUAGUAGUAGUGUAGUAGUAGUAGUAGUGUAUAGUAGUGGUAGUAGUAGUGUAGUAGCAGUAGUGUAGUAUAGUAGUAGUAGUAGUGUAGUAGCGGUAGUAGUAGUAAUAGUAGUGGUAGUAGUAGUGUAUUAGCGGUAGUAGUAGUAUAGUAGUGGUAGUAGUGGUAGUAGUAGUAGUGUAGUAGCGGUAGUAGUAGUAAUAGUAGUAGUAGUAGUAGUAGUGUAGUAGUAGUAGUAGUAGUGGUAGUAGUAGUGUAGUAGCGGUAGUAGUAGUAAUAGUAGUGGUAGUAGUAGUAAUAGUAGUGGUAGUAGUAGUGUAGUAGUGGUAGUAGUAGUAAUAGUAGUGGUAGUAGUAGUAAUAGUAGUGGUAGUAGUAGUGUAGUAGCGGUAGUAGUAGUAAUAGUAGUGGUAGUAGUAGUAAUAGUAGUGGUAGUAGUAGUAAUAGUAGUGGUAGUAGUAGUAAUAGUAGUGGUAGUAGUAGUAAUAGUAGUGGUAGUAGUAGUAAUAGUAGUGGUAGUAGUAGUGUAGUAGCGGUAGUAGUAGUAAUAGUAGUGGUAGUAGUAGUAGUAGUAGUAGUGGGAGUAAGAGUAAGACAUAGCUCUAUUAUUAGUUUACUUAUUUGUUUGUUUAUUUGUUGAUUUUUUUGCUGAUUGUUUGUUUGUUUAGUGGUUAAUUUGUUGAUUAGUUGGUUGGUUGAUUAGGGUGUAUGUUUGGUCGAUUGAUUGAUUGAUUGCCUUAUUGUGUUAGACAGACAGAAGGGGAAACUGCUAGUUUCACCCAGGCUAGGGUUAAUACUGUUACCAAAAACAAUAUUUAUAAUCCUGUACCCUGUAGCUAAUGACAUUAAAAGGUUGUAGACAUCAUCUACAAGCAAUGUUUGCUCACUUAUUAAACCCUCAUGACAAAUAGAAUGAAGAUGACAACAACAUAUUUAUACUCUGACGUUGCAACUGUUGUCUUUUCAUCAUGCAGCAUUAGCAUAGAGUACUCCUGCAGACUGGAUUCUGGCUUUAGAUUGUUUUGAUUCACUGAAGCUCAGAGUUUUGAACCAAGCUCACCUGUUGCUUUCCUCUCUCUCUCUCUGUCUCUCUCUCUCUCUCACACACACACACACACACACACACACACGCACACACACACAAAUAGUUUAGAUUGGUCAGUUAAUGAAAGUAGAGGUUUGAAUUAUUGUUACGAAGGGCAAAAGUGCGAUAGUUACGUAACAACAUGACUCAAGAAACGAGUCGAUUCACAGUUUUAUUUUGAAAAAAAUUCUAUCCAAGUGUAAAAGCAUAGAAUCUUUCGGUGAAAAUGCCAGCGCUAA